UACGUAGGGCGCAAGCGUUGUCCGGAAUUAUUGGGCGUAAAGAGCUCGUAGGCGGUUUGUCGCGUCUGGUGUGAAAACUCAAGGCUCAACCUUGAGCUUGCAUCGGGUACGGGCAGACUAGAGUGUGGUAGGGGAGACUGGAAUUCCUGGUGUAGCGGUGGAAUGCGCAGAUAUCAGGAGGAACACCGAUGGCGAAGGCAGGUCUCUGGGCCACUACUGACGCUGAGGAGCGAAAGCAUGGGUAGCGAACAGG
rnacentral:rRNA from 1 species